rnacentral:lncRNA from 1 species
CCCAGCAGCACCACACCACUCUCCGGUCCCGUCCUCUCUUUUAUUGCUUUAUCCAAAACGCCCCCCCCCGCUGGGAUGGGGGGGCUCUUAAGGGCACUUCUGGGCAUCGAGGGGGGGGGGCCCCCCCCCCCCUUCCUCCUGCUUGGGGGGGGGGGGAGGCAAUACCCCAUCCCGCUUUGUGCAAUGGGGAACGGGGCGGGGGCUGCUGGUGAGGGAAACUGAGGCACAGUGUGAGUGGGGGGGGGGGACCCCUGGAGGUGCAUUGGGGGGAGGAGGGGGGGGGGGGGGGGGGGGGGGGGGGGGGGGGGUCCGUCAGACCCGGAUGAAGAGCGUGGCGGUGACGAGCGCGAAGCCCCCCAGCAGCGCCAGCACUUUGGGGACGCGCAGCCGCGCCGCCCCCCCCCCCAACUCCCGGGGCAGCACUUCCAGCAGAGUGACGUAUAGGAACGCCCCGGCCGCCAUCCCCUCCGCCACGCUGCGCCCCAAACGCUGCCUCGGCCCCCCCCCCGCCGCCCCCUCCACCGCCGCCCCCACCGCCGCUCCGAGCGGCGACGCGAGCGAGAAGAGCAGCAGCGCGGCGGCCACGGCGGAGCGCCGCAGACGGCCCCGGAGGAGCUGCAGGGCGAGGCCGAACGCCACCAAACCUUUGUGCAGCAGCAGCGCCACGCAGAGGCGCAGCGCGGCGCUCUGUCCGCUCCUUCCUCGUCCUCCCCGUCGUCCUCCUCCGCUCCGGCCGGGCGGUCGCGCAGCGCCAGCGCCGCGUGUUCCAACACCAAGACGAGCAGGAAACCCAUCGCCAGGAGGAACUCGGGCAGGGGGAACUGCAGCGGGAUGCGCAGCUCCCGCAGUGCCGCCCCGAUGCUGCCCAGGUAGGUGGGCAGGAGGUCGAGCAGAGCGGUGCCGAGCAGCACUCCGCCCCCCAGGCAGCCCAGCAGGCUGAGCGCGGCGCCGCGAGGACCGGAGCCCGCGGGGCCGCGCACGCAGCACAGCGCUCCGAGGCCGCAGCACAACGGCAGCAGCAGCAGCGCCGCCACCGCCCCCAACUUCAACUGCAGCUCCGUUCUUCCCGGGGGGUCCGCGCGGCCCCGGGGCUCCACGACAGCGCCGCGACCCCGGGGCCGCUCCCCACCGCCAUCCCGGAGCCGCCGUCCCGCUGUCGCCCUCCGGAGCUCG